ACUUAAUUUAGUUUAAAUAAAAUUUUGAACUGUGGAUUCAAGGAUGAUUGAGAUCAAUAAGUA
rnacentral:tRNA from 1 species